rnacentral:miRNA from 1 species
UGUGUUGUAAAGUGAAUAUCA